rnacentral:rRNA from 1 species
AAAAACAUCGCCUCCUGCACACUAUGUAUAGGAGGUCCCGCCUGCCCAGUGACUAUAUGUUCAACGGCCGCGGUAUCAUGACCGUGCAAAGGUAGCGCAAUCACUUGUCUUUUAAAUAAAGACCCGUAUGAAUGGCCCAACGAGGGCUUAACUGUCUCCUCUUCCUAGUCAAUGAAAUUGAUCUCCCCGUGCAGAAGCGGGGAUCCCUCCAUAAGACGAGAAGACCCUGUGGAGUUUUAGACACUAGGCAGCCUUCCCCCACCGUCCCCACAAGGACAUAUUACAAGAACCUGCCCCUGUGUCUUUGGUUGGGGCGACCACGGAGCACAAAAACCCUCCACGCGGAACGGAGCCACUGCCCCUUAAACAAGGGCCACCGCCCUAAUUACUAGAACCUCUAACCUAUGAUCCGGCACGCCGAUUAACGGACCAAAUUACCCCAGGGAUAACAGCGCAAUCUCCUUUUAGAGACCUUAUCAAAAAGGAGGUUUACGACCUCGAUGUUGGAUCAGGACAUCCUAAUGGCGCAGCCACUAUUAAGGGUUCGUUUGUUCAACGAUUAAAGUCCUACGUGAUCUGAGUUCAGACCGG